rnacentral:rRNA from 1 species
GACGAACGCUGGCGGCGUGCUUAACACAUGCAAGUCGAACGGAAAGGCCCUGCUUUUGUGGGGUGCUCGAGUGGCGAACGGGUGAGUAACACGUGAGUAACCUUCCCUUGACUUUGGGAUAACUUCAGGAAACUGGGGCUAAUACCGGAUAGGAGCUCCUGCUGCAUGGUGGGGGUUGGAAAGUUUCGGCGGUUGGGGAUGGACGGGGGGCUUAUCAGCUUGUUGGUGGGGUAGUGGCUUACCAAGGCUUUGACGGGUAGCCGGCCUGAGAGGGUGACCGGCCACAUUGGUACUGAGGUACGGCCCAGACUCCUACGGGAGGCAGCAGUGGGGAAUAUUGCACAAUGGGCGGAAGCCUGAUGCAGCAACGCCGCGUGCGGGAUGAAGGCCUUCGGGUUGUAAACCGCUUUCGCCUGUGACGAAGCGUGAGUGACGGUAAUGGGUAAAGAAGCACCGGCUAACUACGUG